rnacentral:rRNA from 1 species
UCGAGAAUCUUCGGCAAUGGACGCAAGUCUGACCGAGCGACGCCGCGUGCGGGAUGAAGGUCUUCGGAUUGUAAACCGCUGUCAGAGGGGAUGAAGUGUACGGGAGUUAUCUCCCGUAUUUGACAGAGCCUCAGAGGAAGCACGGGCUAAGUUCGUGCCAGCAGCCGCGGUAAUACGAACUGUGCGAACGUUAUUCGGAAUCACUGGGCUUAAAGGGUGCGUAGGCGGCUGCCUAAGUCAGAUGUGAAAUCUCUCGGCUCAACCGGGAAACUGCGCUUGAUACUGGGCGGCUCGAGUGAGGUAGGGGUGUGUGGAACUUCCGGUGGAGCGGUGAAAUGUGUAGAUAUCGGAAGGAACGCCAGCAGCGAAAGCGGCACACUGGGCCUUUUCUGACGCUGAGGCACGAAAGCCAGGGGAGCGAACGG